rnacentral:ncRNA from 1 species
AACAGGGGUGCUAAAACCUUUUUGGCUGAGAUUGAAUGAAAUGGCAUUCUAGACCCUUAUAACCUGAUCCAGGUAAUGCUGGCGUAGGAAAUCUA